UACGUAGGGGGCAAGCGUUGUCCGGAUUUAUUGGGCGUAAAGCGCUCGCAGGCGGACCUGCAAGUCGGGGGUGAAAGCCCGAGGCUCAACCUCGGAACUGCCUUCGAUACUGCGGGUCUCGAGUCCGAGAGAGGCGAGUGGAAUUCCGAGUGUAGAGGUGAAAUUCGUAGAUAUUCGGAGGAACACCAGUGGCGAAGGCGGCUCGCUGGCUCGAUACUGACGCUGAGGUGCGAAAGCGUGGGGAGCAAACAGG
rnacentral:rRNA from 1 species